CUCAUAGUUUAGUCUGUUUAAUUUUAACACACACUACUAGCUUUAGGUAAAAAUAACACUUCACAAUUUUUUUAUAAAGAAAACGCCAAAUCAUACGCUAAAUUCUCAUUAAUUGUUGAGCUGAA